CCUACGGGAGGCAGCAGUGAGGAAUAUUGGUCAAUGGGCGCGAGCCUGAACCAGCCAAGUCGCGUGAGGGAAGACGGUCCUAUGGAUUGUAAACCUCUUUUGUCGGGGAGCAAAAGACGCCACGCGUGGCGUUCCGUGAGUACCCGAAGAAAAGGCAUCGGCUAACUCCGUGCCAGCAGCCGCGGUAAUACGGAGGAUGCGAGCGUUAUCCGGAUUUAUUGGGUUUAAAGGGUGCGCAGGCGGAAGAUCAAGUCAGCGGUAAAAUUGAGAGGCUCAACCUCUUCGAGCCGUUGAAACUGGUUGUCUUGAGGGAGUGAGAAGUGUGCGGAAUGCGUGGUGGAGCGGUGAAAUGCAUAGAUAGCACGCAGAACUCCGAUUGCGAAGGCAGCAUACCGGCGCUCAACUGACGCUGAUGCACGAAAGUGUGGGUAUCGAACAGGAUUAGAUACCCCAGUAGUC
rnacentral:rRNA from 1 species